UCGUACCAGAGUUUGAUCCUGGCUCAUGACGAACGCUGGCGGCGUGCUUAACACAUGCAAGUCGAACGGUAAGGCCCUUCGGGGUACACGAGUGGCGAACGGGUGAGUAACACGUGAGUAACCUGCCCCGGACUCUGGGAUAAGCAUUCGAAAGGGUGUCUAAUACUGGAUAGGACCUCCUCCUGCAUGGGUGGGGGUGGAAAGAUUUUUUGGUUCGGGAUGGGCUCGCGGCCUAUCAGCUUGUUGGUGGGGUGAUGGCCUACCAAGGCGUCGACGGGUAGCCGGCCUGAGAGGGCGACCGGCCACACUGGGACUGAGAUACGGCCCAGACUCCUACGGGAGGCAGCAGUGGGGAAUAUUGCGCAAUGGGCGGAAGCCUGACGCAGCAACGCCGCGUGCGGGAUGACGGCCUUCGGGUUGUAAACCGCUUUCACCCAUGACGAAUUUUUUUAUGACGGUAGUGGGAGAAGAAGCACCGGCCAACUACGUGCCAGCAGCCGCGGUGAUACGUANGGUGCGAGCGUUGUCCGGAAUUAUUGGGCGUANAGAGCUUGUAGGCG
rnacentral:rRNA from 1 species